GCACAAGCGGUGGAGCAUUGUGGUUUAAUUCGAUGCUACACGAAGAACCUUACCAGGUUUGACAUGCAAGUGGUAGGAAUCUGAAAAGGGACCGACCUUCGGGGAGCUUGCACAGGUGCUGCAUGGCUGUCGUCAGCUCGUGUCGUGAGAUGUUCGGUUAAGUCCGCUAACGAGCGCAACCCUCACUGUGUGUUAUAUGUGUCACACGGGACUGCCGGUUUUAAGCCGGAGGAAGGUGGGGAUGACGUCAAGUCAGCAUGGCCUUUAUAUCCUGGGCUACACACACGCUACAAUGGUCGGUACAAUAGGUUGCCAAGCCGCGAGGCGGAGCCAAUCCACAAAGCCGGCCUCAGUUCAGAUUGUAGGCUGCAACUCGCCUGCAUGAAGAUGGAGUUGCUAGUAACCGCAGGUCAGCAAUACUGCGGUGAAUACGUUCCCGGGUCUU
rnacentral:rRNA from 1 species